AUAACUUAAUGAUGAACAAUAACUUUCGCCCCUAACUGAAAACUAAUUUCAUGUUGAAUGCGAUUUGAUUGGUCUUACUGAGUUAAUAUU
rnacentral:snoRNA from 1 species